rnacentral:lncRNA from 1 species
GUUUUCACAAUAUGACCAUUUGUUUGCAACCAACGCCGUCCAUUGACAUUCAUUGAAACUUCACUCUGCAAAGCUCAAAUUUGAAGUGCAAUUUCUAAACUGCGACUGCGCCUUCAAUUUUAAUACUUCAGAGACAUACUAUGCAUCAAAAUGUAGGUCUGGGUCUUGUGAUUCUCACAAUAUAAAGCUCUUCGCUGUAGGAUUUAUAGUUUUUAAAAUAUGACCGUUUGAAGAUGGCAACCACCAAAAUACUCUGACCUGUCAAGGCUGCAGCAGAAAGUGAUGUCAUAGACAGGGCCUUUUGAACACCUG